ensembl:lncRNA
CUUCUUUGAAUGCUAAUAAGUAAACAGCAUGCUUUCUUCACAUAAGGGGGAAAAUACUCCACUUUCCUCUUUACCCAUGCCUUCUCUCUUUCAGACGCACAUCCCUAUUGUAGAGAUCCAUGACCAUCAUGAAGCUAUAGCCUCUGAAGUCCUCCCCGCUGCUGAGGAACAUCUGGAGCAGGACGUCCUCCAAACUCAGUAUGUGAACACUCCAGUUGGUUCCACUAAAGAUGACGACACAGAAGACAAGAUGUCCUGCAGUCAUUACUUGAAGGACAAUGGUGAUGUUGACGAGGAAAUUCCACCUAAUUUUAUGUGUGUGUCUCCAGGUAAGGAGGUCUCUUGGUCUCAUCAGGACCGAGGGAGAGCAGCUGGGUCAUGCUGUAAUAGAUCAGCUCUCGCAGGCCAAAGUUGCAGCGCUGCUGUUGUGCUGAGAUCCACUACAGAAGAGCUCAGGCAACAUAAUGCAGUUAUCACAGACACUCUGGAAGCCCAGGAAAAACAAAUCAGUCUCCAGGAACGAAUCUGUCUUUCUCACUGUCAUUGCAUAUCUGUUUUCAUGAUUUUUUUGUGAUGUCUCUGAAGUACUUGUAAAGCAUCAACAAAUGCAUUUGUUGUUUCUUUAUUUAUUUUACAGGAUUAGGUUGUAAUCUUCAUAAAUCCUUAAUCUGUAUGGCAACUGUUGUGUGUAUGUGAGGCAAAUGUCAGGCAUUUAAAAUAUACUGAAUGAAUUUAGAGAAUGUUUCAUACAAAUUAAGAGACUUCUUUGAAUAGCACAAUUUCCAGUAAAUGUGCUUAUAAAGUAGUCAAAC